GACGAACGCUGGCGGCGUGCUUAACACAUGCAAGUCGAACGGAAAUGCCCUGCUUUUGUGGGGUGCUCGAGUGGCGAACGGGUGAGUAACACGUGAGUAACCUGCCCUUGACUUUGGGAUAACUUCAGGAAACUGGGGCUAAUACCGGAUAGGAGCUCCUGCUGCAUGGUGGGGGUUGGAAAGUUUCGGCGGUUGGGGAUGGACUCGCGGCUUAUCAGCUUGUUGGUGGGGUAGUGGCUUACCAAGGCUUUGACGGGUAGCCGGCCUGAGAGGGUGACCGGCCACAUUGGGACUGAGAUACGGCCCAGACUCAUACGGGAGGCAGCAGUGGGGAAUAUUGCACAAUGGGCGGAAGCCUGAUGCAGCAACGCCGCGUGCGGGAUGACGGCCUUAGGGUUGUAAACCGCGUUCGCCUGUGACGAAGCGUGAGUGACGGUAAUGGGUAAAGAAGCACCGGCUAACUACGUG
rnacentral:rRNA from 1 species